AGGUGUUGGGAUUACAGGCGUGAGCCACUGUUCCAGGCCUCAUUUUUAAAUUAUUAGUUGGUUUCUCCUCAAGUCCAUCUCAGGAACCUAGCAAGAACGAACUGGUCUUGAUCCCACUGCUCACAGUCCAGCAAUUUUUUCCCCUAAAUGCAAGCAGAGCUGGGGGUUUCUGGGCCCCCUGGGAUGGGUGCCUGAGCAGAUGUGGCUCCACCCGCUUCCUCCAACCUGUCACUGAGAUCUUCAAGAUCCCGGGACAGGUCACUGCGUUGUUUCUCCACCUGGGAUGAAAGUUUUUAUUUUAAGAUAGAGCCUUCCUCUGUGGCCCAGGCUGGAGUGCAGCAGCACCAUCUCGACUCACUGCAACCUUCACCUGCCUGGCUCAAACAAUCCUCUAACCUUAGCCUCCCAAGUAUCUGCAACUACAGGCACAUGCCAUCAUACCCAGCAAAUUUUUAAAUUUUUUGUAGAGAUGGGUUUCACCAUGUUGCCCAAGCUGGUCUCCCGGUCUCAAGUGAUCCUCCUGCCUUGGUCUCCCAAGGUAUUUGGAUUACAAGCAUGAGCCACUCUUCCCGGCCAUGGGAUGAGAUUUAAUGAUACCGAUGAUAAUCACCCAGAGCUCCUUUUUCUCCAGUAAAGAGCAUGAUGACUGCUUCACCUUUGAGAAGCCAGGAUUCUAUGCCUGGGGGGCCUUGUGCCCUGCCUGUCAUCCCACAGGCUUAGUAAAGGACACUGUCUUGCCCACACUGGGCGGGCAUUAGUGCCCAUCCUACCUACCACCUGUCCAAUUUGGCUGAAUUUGGGGUUAGGUACGCUGUGAUUUGUCUCCCACCAGCUUUCUGGGCUCACGUCCUGUAGGAUCCCCACGCUCAAGCCUCCCUCCAUGCUCUGCUCUUGCUAACACGUGCUUUCUCUGUUUACACCUUCAUCCCAAUGAAGGUAGAACCAGCCUCUUCUCCUCUGGACUCAAGCCACACAGAGCAUCUGCCUUUCACGUCAUGAUUAAUGUGGAUGUGCAGUUCAGUCCCUGGCACACAGUAGGUGCUCCAGAAGCAACUAGACUUUUUAGCUGGACACCUGCCUUCUCUACUGGUUUCCUUAGCGGAGGUUUCUAUUCAUGGUUGGAUGUGUGACUGCCGUUAGGUCUUUUGACUCAAGAAGGGGAAACGUAUUUCAUUUACCUUGGCUCUCAUGGCCCUCUCAGCUUCUAGUUCUUCUUCCAGCUCUUCAAUUCGGUCCUAGCAGACAGAGGAGGGAGGGGAUUCAUCUCUGCCAGGCAAAGUUAGUAAGUCAGCCCCUUAGCCUUUUAGGACGGAAAAUAGGGAUGUGAGAAUAUGACAGCCACUGUCAAAAGCAGAGAGAGGCAGAUCCCAGAGAGCAAGUGCAAAGGUGCCGGGGCAGGCAGGAGGGGGCCUGGCAUGUGUGACACCCAGCCAGGAGCCAGCAUGGCUGGAUAGAGUGGAGGGAAACACUCGGUGAUGAGGUCAGGCGGGGAGCAGUUGGAGGGCCUCAUAACCAUUGUACGGAUUUCACCCCUAGUGAGGGGAACAUGGGUCCAUCUCCAAGGACUCUAUGGCAGUCUUGCUCCUCAGGAAACCUCAGCCACCAAGUAGCUGACAUGAACAAAACGUUCAGAGAAGUGCAUUUCUGACAGAGAGCUCAUGCUUCUCGGUCCUGGACAUACCUGGUGCUCCUUCAGUUUCCGCUGCAGCGUGGAAUUCAGAGACUGCUCAUCCUCAUAUUUCGAGUUGACAGAGUUUAUUUCCAAAUCCCUCCUGCAAGGGAAGGGUUGGUCUCCUGAGGAAAGGCUCUGAGGGUAGACCAGCAAGCUGGCGAGGGAAUGUCGCCUGGGCUGCCAGAGGAGGCCUUGAACCUGCCGAAAAGCACGUACCUCCCAGCCCCUUCUGGCCUUCUGUAGUGACAGCCCAGAAGGUCUCACCCUACAGAGCAGUUAGACCCCUGAAUGAGCUCCUCAGGUGUUUCAUCAUCCAUUCAUUCAUUCACACAUUUACUAAUGUGACACUUUUUUUUGAGACAGGGUGUUGCUCUGUCGCCCAGAAUGCAGUGCAGUGGCAUGAUCAUGGCUCACUGCAGCCUUGACCUCCUGGGCUUAAGUGAUCCUCCCACCUCAGCCUCUCUAGUAGCUGGGGCCACAGGCUGGCUCCAUCAUGCCCAGUUAAUUUUUGUAUUUUUUGUAGACGGGGUCUUGCUAUGUUGCCCAGGCUGGUCUUGAGCUCCUGGCCUCAAGCCAUCCUCCUGCCUUCGCAUCCCAAAGUGCUGGGAUUACAGGUGUGAGCCACUGUACCCAACAUGGUCAUAGGCUUUUAUGACGCCUCCCUGCCCUGCUGAGUCCUCAGUGUUCCCUGGGGUGGUGGCGCUUGUCUCCUCCCCAGUGCCCACCAGGUAUUGUGUGACACUGGGCAUUCCCUGCAGACAGGGCAGCCCCUACCUCUCUGCAUAUCCUCCAUGCCUGCCAGGUGCUUGGGACAUGCAGGAAUGUUUGUGAGGCUCUCCAUACAGUGCCUGGCUCCUGGCACCCUCCAGGCAGCUCCAGCUAUUGCUACCAUUGUGAUGGACAAAACGAACGACGACAAGACAUACUUUUUCACCACCUCCUCGAGAUCCAGCUUGGAACGCUCCAUCUCAUUGAGGUUGUCGAUGGUCAUCUUCAGGUCACUCUCAGCUUUCCGACGAGCCUUUUCCACCUCCGCCCGGAUUUUCUUUUCCUGCUCCCAGUUAUCCUCCAGCUACAGAGACAAGAACAGCAAGAGAAGGUAGACGAGGAGAGUCUGAGGUCAGAAGGCAAGAAGGAACCAGACUGGGUCCGAUCCUUUAGCUGUGGCAUCAGAAGGGCCCUCACGCCCCGGGGGAUGUGUUGGUCCAGUUCUCAAAACUAAUCUUCGGACCCCGUGCCCCCAGAGGGAUCUGGCCUUGGAGUUGUAGAGGUGGCCACAGCAAUGGGUAUUACCUCAUGGAUCUGCGUGCUCAGCUUGCUGUUAUUUUUGGUCAGGUGGUUCACCUUGUCCUCCUCAGCCUGUAGGUCGUCCAGGGUUUUCUGGAAGGACAGAUACACACGUGAGUGCCACGAGGCCCAGUGGGAGCAGCUGAACAGUCCUGAUCCUCAGUCGUCGCUUCUGAGCUAUGCAGCUCCCAGGCUUUGGGGAGUUCAGUUGACUUCAGUGAGUAGGUACUGACCACCUGCUCCUGGGCGCUGGGUAAGGCCAGAGCAGAUGGACCAGAGCCACCCAUCAGGGAGGUCAAUUGCUUGAGCCAGGGAGGUUGAGGCUGCAGUGAGCUAUGAUCGUACCACUGCACCCGAGCCUGGGUGACAGAGUCAGACCCUGUCUCUACAAAAAUUAGCCAGGUGUGGUGGCACACGUCUGUAGUGCCAGCCACUCAGGAGACUGAGGCAGGACGAUCACGAGCCCAGGAGGUUGGGGCUGCAGUGAGCUAUGAUGGCACCACUGCAUUUCAGCCUGAGCAACAGUGAGACCCUAUCUCUGGUUCCCCAGGGGGCAUAUGGGAAAUAGGUGGGGUGCUUCUGGUUGUCACAGUGAUUGGAGGUUCCUCUGAGAUUUAGUGGAUGACUCCAGCAAUGCCGGACAUCCCAUUUUGCUCUGGACAAUCUGGUACCAUGAAGAACUCUGUAGUCCACAUUCCUGAUGUCCCACCCGGGCACUUAUGUGAGUAAAACAACCAUUUCUACUCUUCUAAACCUAGAGCCCAGCACCCUUUUACAUGUAACUCAAUGUUC
rnacentral:lncRNA from 10 species